rnacentral:tRNA from 1 species
GGGAGGGUACGGGUCUGGUGGCCCGCACGGUCUUCAAAACCGCUGAGGCCGGUUCACGCCGGCUGGUAGGUUCGAUUCCUACACCCUCCC